rnacentral:rRNA from 1 species
ACGAACGUUUCGAAAGGAACGCUAAUACCGCAUACGUCCUACGGGAGAAAGCAGGGACCUUCGGGCCUUGCACUAUCAGAUGAGCCUAGGUCGGAUUAGCUAGUUGGUGAGGUAAUGGCUCACCAAGGCGACGAUCCGUAACUGGUCUGAGAGGAUGAUCAGUCACACUGGAACUGAGACACGGUCCAGACUCCUACGGGAGGCAGCAGCC